UACAGAGGGUGCGAGCGUUAAUCGGAAUUACUGGGCGUAAAGCGCACGUAGGUGGCGACGUAAGUCGGGUGUGAAAGCCCCGGGCUCAACCUGGGAAUUGCAUUCGAGACUGCAUUGCUGGAGUACGGAAGAGGAGGGCGGAAUUCCCGGUGUAGCGGUGAAAUGCGCAGAUAUCAGGAGGAACACCGAUGGCGAAGGCAGCUCGCUGGGACGGUACUGACGCUGAGGCGCGAAAGCGUGGGGAGCAAACAGG
rnacentral:rRNA from 1 species